rnacentral:lncRNA from 1 species
CGGGCUUGUCUUUCCUCUUCCCGGUCUUGCCUCUCUCUCUCUAGGGCCUCCCGGAGGGCGGCCACCUCGGCCGUCUUCGCUUGAAGACGGGCGACCUCGUCCUGGCAGCGCUCCUCCGCCCGAAGAAGGUCCCUUCUCAUGCGGCCCGAUGCCUCGACAUAGGCGAAGAGCUGGUGCCCGAUCUGCAAGGACGGAUGGAGAAUUACAACAAAGACCAAGCAAUCAUGCAAAUAAACAUCAGCUUACCUGGAGGAAGGACCCCAAAGUGUCCCAGGCCCGCUGCUCGGGAUCGGCGCGGUCGAUCCUCUCCACGAC